UGUACCAACCUAUAUUUAUGGAUGUGGUUUACAUAGCAUAAUUGUUAAUGAAAAUGUUGUUAUUUGAAAGUCAAAGCUUUUUCUCUAUUGUACACUACUUGUAUACACAUUGAGUUACCAAACCCUUGAUAUUUAUUAGGUCUAAAUUGUCACUCUGGAUAAAAGAGUCACAAGCAUUAAAUUUCACAGCCAGGAUGACAGGAAGGGCUUAAUGGGAGCCGGUGUAAAAAUUGGACAAUGGGCCUGGCACCGCCCACUUUUAGGUGGCAUCCUAUACCUCAGGAACUACUGGACCAUUUUCAACGAAAUUUGGUGUUUGGGUUACCUAAUAAUUUUUAUCAUACACUGUGAAAAUGGGCGACAUCGGUUUACAUUAACGCCUACUUUUUAUACAACAAAUUUUUAAAUUCCUAUGAUUCUUUCACAUUUAGUACAAAUCAAAAAUCAAUGCAGUUAUUAGUUUUGCAUAAAUAGUGUCCUCAAGGUAUUUAAUCUAACGCCCAAAAAUUGUUGAAAUCGGACUACAACUUUUCAAGGACUCAGACACCAAAUAUGUGGACACCUGUGUAUAUGGCUGAUGUUUUACCGAACAUAUCGGUCAGUUUAUGAAUUAUAGUAUUGAAGUUCAGGGGGAACAUUUUUGUGAUAAUAGCAUGGCUGUGUGUCAAAAAUGGUAAAUAUCGGGUCAAUACUUCCUUUAGCCCCCAAAUACCUAAUGUAAAUAUUUUCGAACUUCCAAUUAAUUUUUUUUUCAAUGUUUAAGUCUAUAACAUACAAUACCAUAUACAUAUAUAAAAGACACGUAGCGGUUUAAAUUACUUCCCUGAGAAAACUUUGUCUAUCAGACUAAGUAAUUGCAAAUCAAAAAUGAAAUGAGAGAACCCCUCAAUACACAAUAGGUACAAUGUAUUGAAAACAACUAGUUAUAAAGCACUUUACUACUAGUCAAAGUACUUUCUUUUUUCCAUAAAAGUAAUUGCAUUUUUUUAAUCUUGCCGGAUUUUGGUCAGAAAUAAAAUAUAUCAAUUUCAUAUCAUCUCAAAUAUUUUUAAUAGAUUAUGGAUGGAAUAAAGUAUUGUAAAAUGUCAUAUAGCUAAUAUGAAUAUGAAGUUUCUAGUUGUAAACUGGAGAUUUUUUUGACUAGUGUUCUACUUUAUGUGCAUAAGCAUGUAUUCGUAUGUCUAUGAUAUUUUAAUGAAAUAGAAAUAAUAUUAUGUCAUGAUUUCAAUGCAUUUUGAGUAGAUUUACUGGCGUAAAUCAGAUGCCGUCUAUAAUAUAAGGACAACAUCAUUUGCAUACCACAAAAACAACAACAUUGAAUAACAAUAAAAAAAAUAAUAUAAUUUGCAUUGUCAAGUAGUCGGCGAAGAAUUUCAAUGCAAAAUAAUAAUAAUAACAGAGAUAAUGAUAGCGAAACGCAAUAAAUAAUUACGAAUUUCUAAUAGAAAAAUAAAGAGUAAAUUGAUACACAAAUAUGAUCAUUGUUUGUGGAUGAAGUGUGCACGUAAUUGUGGUUUUUCAUUAGCCACAAUUCAAAAACAAUAAAAUAGCAAGUCGUAUUUUGCACUCCAGUUUACCUAUUAGUAUAUUAUAUAUAUACAUGAGUAUGUAGUAUUUGUUGACCGAUAUGAAAAGCAAUGUAAUGUUAUGUGCGCACUGUAUAAUUAUGAUCUUACCUUGCAAUCGUUAUACUCGAAUAUAUAUAAGUAUAUAUAUAUAUAUAUAGCUGUGCUAAAUGCAUGUUCGAGUUUCUUCUCUUUAUGGUGGUUUAUGUUCCGAUUUCAUUCGAAGAGCGGAAGUGCUAACUGUGAAACACUUCUAAGCCACGCAUUAAUUUUAUGAAAAGCCCUAUCAAAAAUUUAAUUGAACGUUAGCCAUUGAAGUCAAAAACUCUUAUCCACCGUCUAUCUAAAGUCUUCUUGCAAUUUGUAAACAUUUGACAUCAUUCACAAAAUCGCACCAUAUUAUUAUCAGACGUGUAAUACGUGUGUACGUGAUAGCCAAUAUAACAUGAGACACUUAUCAAACAAAUUAAAUAUAGAAGUUGCAUUAUUUGGAAUUUGAAUUAAAAAAUGGUGGUGGAUCCGCUCUCUAAUAUGUUUAUUGUACAUAUCUCAAAAACUACGAAAGCCAGUCAGUCAAAUUGGCCGCUAACCUUUUUUAACAUUACAUUCUUUGCAAGGAAAAUUCUCCCAGUGAACUUAACUAUUAAAAGUAUGGUAACUGUCUGGAGAAUAACGUCGAAUUUUACACAGUGAUACAGCAGGGCUACAUAACUUACAGCCGAUAUGAACCAAAAUUGGCGCAUAUCAUGAAUACCAUGAAUGUGACCAUCACCACGCACACUUUCAAUAAAGUCUUUACCCUAAAAACUCGAGUAUUAAUGGAGUUUUCGAAACAAAUGGAGAAAAAACAAAUAUUAUUACGCUUUUUGGGGCUCUACAUUUUUUGUUUGGCAAUAUGGAAGCAAUAGCAUUCGCAUGCUCAUAGAUACGCGAGUCAGUGAACUGUGCCUCGUUAGUUUGUUUACUCGACAAACACAUGUGUAGACAGACAGCGAUAAGCGGAUAUAUGCAAUAGUGGAAAAAUGUGCAUUUACACAUACUUAUGUAGGUUCUUCAGGCUGUCAUUCUUAGGUGUUAUGUGCUGGCAGCUUUGUAAGGCAUGAUUCGCCUUCUAGUUCUACUACAAGUACAAACUUUUAUGUUUGAAGAGAGAGAGAGAAACGAUUACGACAAAUUGAAACGGUUUAUACUUUCGCAAAUGUCUCGUACGGAUAUUGAACUAGGUGUAUUUUGUUUCUUAAGAAUUUUUGUGAAAAUAUAUAUAUGUAUACAUAUAUGUAGCAGUUGCCGUCAUCAUAUCACUUCAUCUUUAUACCUUAAACAGAGUAAAAUAAGUAUAUUUAUAAAUGAGCAACGUGACAAGCUGAGUAGAUUUAGCCAUGUCCGUAUGUCCGUCUGUCUGGAUACACGCGAACUAGUCCUUCAGUCUUUUUCUUCCCAGGAAGCUGCUCAUAUCGGCCCACUAUAGCACAUAGCUGACGUACAAAGUGAAUGAUCAAAAUCAAGUUCCUAUGUGGAAAAGUUUUUUUCUAACGCAGACAUGCAAUUGGUUAUUUUAUUCUAUGAUUCCUGAAGUCAUAGUAUAUACUCAGAGCCGCUAACUUUUUUAGCAGCACUGUAAAUACAACUUUACGCUCUGUGUAGAGGGGUAUAUUAAUGAAGAAAUUUAUAUUCUGUGGUUUGCGUAGGUAAUGCGCACCUACACAAAUCGGUAUAAUUGUGCAUAGCCUUAAUAUACUGAACGAUGUGGCUGAUCUUGAGCUAGACCGCUUCAUCCAUCAAUGUGACAAUACUUAAGUAUAUAAUUGAGUUAUGGCUUGUGGUUGCACAUUUGAAUGAUUUAUCAACAACAAGUGAAUAUUUCUAUCGUAUCUGCAAUUAAUUGAGGCGAAAUAUAUAAUAUUAUCAAUAUAACUUCUGUAAAAACACUUGUACAUACAUAUGUAUGUGCUCGUAUUACUGCGUACUAGCAUUAAGAUUGUUGCUGCAAAGAUAAAAACAUCACAACAAUAUCAUUUCCCCAGCGCUUGCAGCUGACUCCACUGUGAAGUAUCAAAAAACAGUGCAAAUAAUUACAACUAUAAUGUAAAUUUAGUAAAGAUAAGCAAGGCAACAGCACAAAAGGCGAAACAGCAAACACAAUACUGAUAAGACAUGAUCUCAAGUAACUACUUCACUCUUGUGAAAAGUCGUAUUUCAUUGUGUUUUUGCACUAUUCCUUCGUCUACAGAAUAUCUUAUUCUUAAACUAUUUAAAACGAAUAUAUGUAUGACUAGUUUAACUUGUAUUCUAGCAAAAACUUUUUAAUUUUGCAAGUUUUUUUACUACAUGGUUGGUGUAAAUUUACCUAUGUAUGAACUAAUAUGUAUAUAGCCAUUCGCAUACUCCCCCACUGUUUUUAAAACGAGCACACUUGUUAUCACUUUAGUUACUGUAACUACUUAUGUACAUACAUAAACUGUUUUAUUGUUUUUAGCUUUUUUCUUUAUUUUUGUAUUUAUUCGAUUGCUUUUUUAUUUGAGUUAUUUUAUUGCCUACAAUUACUUAAAACAGCUGGCAACAGCAGCGGCCUCCAUCACAGCAAAUAACUAUCCCAGUCAGUUAAUCAAGCAAACAAGCAAUACUAACAGCGUCGUCAAUUGUCUUAGAGGUCGUUCACUGUUAAGUUCGUCUAUCUUCCUGUGUUUGUUGUAUUUUUUUUUAUAGUUUUCUACUGUUCACACAAGUUCGUAAACAUCAAAAAUAGUGUAUUUAGCGAAUAAGUGCAUGCUUACGAUUACCAUACAUAUAUACAAGUACAUACAUAUAAGUCCAUACAAAAAUAUAAAACUACACUUACUGGAGUGGUGAGGAGGAAGCUUUGAAGAAAUUCAUUCUAAUUCAGAAGAAAAAAAGUCUGUAGUUACAAAAUUCAUGGGAACAAUCAAAAAAGUCCGUGAGUACAAUCUCCAUCUGUGGCAGUAAUUACCUCCUUUUCUAAAAUCCCAUUUUUCUCAAAUUCAGAACAUAUUUACAGUUUUACUUUUGAGUAGACGACUUAUAGCAUUUUCUUUGCGGUGCUGCCACCUAUUGACUAUAAUAGCAAAUAGUUAACAGAAGCUUAAUUUUCAAAUUUUUCAUGUCGUCAAAAAUUCUUAAAUACAUUAGCAGGCGAUCGAGAAAACAACCCUAAAUAUUUUACUAAUUAAGACAAAUGAACUUCUAAGACAUAUUGUCAUAUGUUUUAACCGGAUGAGGGUUCUUUUUGUCACUGGAACUUUUAUUCAUACUUCACAGUUCUUUUGAUUAUGGUUGGCGUUACUCAUAUUUAAUUUUUUUACACGAUAUUUCGAAAAGUUUAUUCUGAUAACAAAAAUAAAAUAUUUGCUGUGCCCACCCAUUCAUUGGCCCCAUUUACUCAUGCACACAUAUGGGCACUAGUAGUACAUCUGUUGUUGCUACACAUAAGUAAGUGUGUAUAAGUACAUACAUAAGUGCGUAUAUAAAUUUAUUUAUAGAAACUUGCGAUAAUUUAGAAAUCAACAUUAAAAGUAGCGGCGACUCUACAGCUGCGCUGCACUAACCUAUUUACACACACUCUCACACAAAUUCAUAAGCUUACCCCGCAGUGAAAUCAACUAGUCGACAGUCUCAUACUAGUUCCAUAUGCGCCGAAAAUAUUUAGCCAAUCAACUUCAAAUGUUCCAAAAACCAACCUUAACUUUAAGCUAACACAAAGAUAUGGAGUGCAACAAAGAGAUGAUAUAAAACUGAUAUUUUCCUGGCUAGUUCGACUUCAGCCAGUAGUUUCUUUUAUGCCACUCACUCUUAGAUUAACUUUUCCAUUCGUAUGUGCCUUUUUAAAGGCAUUCAUACUUGUAUAUAUGUAGAUACAUGAAUAGUGUUUUGUUUUUGUGAAUAGAAAAACAUUUUAAGCUUAGGCAGAAAACGUAACUUAGCGCAUUAGAUGCUGUUAUUUUGGUUUUUUGACUACUCGUGUUGCUGAAUUGUAAACAUAAAACAUCUGCUCUAACUGGCGAACAACAGCAGCCCAUCGAGUAACUAAUGCAAUCAACAACAACAGCAGAAAUAACAAAUAUAAAGAUUUAAUCCGAAAAACGCUCCACGCUGCCGACAACGCUCGCAUAGCUGCAAUGAGCGACACGAGCAGAGCAACGGUUAGAGCCAGCCGAAAUAGCUUUCAAAACAAACAACAGAAAAAGCCAAACACGAAGCAAAUAAAAACAAUCAACUUGACAGCUCACAACAACAGCGCUAUUUGGCAUGUCAGCCACAGUGUCAACAUGUAUGAAUAAACCGUGCUGCUGCUUGCUACUUUUACUUACUCACACACUGCACCAGCAAUGAAAACAAAGCAAAAUAAAUUUGGCACAGAAAGCAGAGCAACAUUUACAGCAGGCAAAUAUGUAGCCUGUUUAUUUUUCUUUGUUCGAAUGCAAAUUUUUGUCGUAUAGACUGCUUGGCUACAAUUUUGGCUGUUGUUUAUGCACAGAUGCAUCUUCAUUUAGCUAUAUGCAUAUACACACAUCCACACGUCUAUUAGUUUUAAUUUUGUACAAAUUCCAACUAAAUCUGUUUUAAAACAACUGAAAAACAAAAAAAUAUUUCGGGAAUAAUUUUUUGAAAAAGGUGAUGAUAAACAUGCAACGAAUCAUAUGCAAAAAAUAAUAUUUGUUAAAUGAUGUAAUAAUUAGAUAUAAGCAUUCCAUAAAUAGGAUAUGUAUGGACACAACACACUGCCUUGGUAAAUUGUAUGACAGUGCGUAUAAGUAACCACAGUUUGCAAGCUGUUCCGAUAAUUACUCAUUGAACUGUAAGUCUGGCUAUUGGAUGUUGAUGGCCUAAAAUUAAUUUUGAAAUGUUUAUCUUCUCUCAAACGUCGUCAUAUCUCUCUAACCAAAGCUAACGCACAGAAUUUGCCUAUCAUGCGUUAUUCGCUAUAACUGGAGCAUUUCACACAAACCGGAAUACCGAACGUACGUGUGAUCGGUUCUAUUUAUUGCCUUGGCGAUCACAGAACAAAGAAAUUCUUUUAUGGCUUAUUAUUUAUAAUAUAUAUCAAGUAGCCCGAGUAACUUUUAUCUAACAAAAAAAUAAAAACAACAUACACAUGUAUGUGUAAAUAAUUGUUUGUAAUACUUCUGUUCAUUAAGAACCAUCACAGUGGUUCAUUGCAGUGCUAAGUAAAUUAACCAAUUCGAUUUUAAAUAUUCGAGUGUGAAUAGAAAACGCACUAAAAAUUAUGACUGAUCUAACAUGUUAUUCACAUUUUUAUUCUUGCAUUUUAAUGAGGAACUUGGCAACGAAACAUGUCUAUGUACAUACCACACAGAGGUACACAGUUAUAUAUGGAUGUACAUAUAAGUGUGUAUGUAAGCGCAAACUCAAUUUAAGUAAGUAAAUUAAGAACUAUAUGAAUUAAUAAAAUAUAUGUACAUAAACAAUAUAUUUUAUAUAAAGAGAGACAAUCGUACG